UAGGGUGCAGUGUUUGAGCACAGAGUCCUUUGGAUUCUCCAGAGAGCACAUAGUUGCUCCACCUUAA
rnacentral:tRNA from 1 species